CGGGCGCGGCGAACGAUCUAAGUUCCUUGGAACGGGGCGUCAUAGAGGGUGAGAAUCCCGUAUGUGAUCGGCGACUAAGCCCAUGUGAAACUCCUUCGACGAGUCGAGUUGUUUGGGAAUGCAGCUCAAAAUGGGUGGUAAAUUUCAUCUAAAGCUAAAUACCGGCCAGAGACCGAUAGCGCACAAGUAGAGUGAUCGAAAGAUGAAAAGCACUUUGGAAAGAGAGUCAAAAAGUACGUGAAAUUGUUGAAAGGGAAGCGCUUGCAACCAGACCUGCCCGCGGGCGAUCAACCGUCCCCCCGGGGGCGGUGCACUCGACCGCGAUCAGGCCAGCAUCGGUUCGGGCGGCCGGAUAAAGGCCUCGGGAACGUGGCUCCUUUCGGGGAGUGUUAUAGCCCUUGGCGCAAUGCGGCCCGCCUGGACCGAGGACCGCGCUUCGGCUAGGAUGCUGGCGUAAUGGUUGUAAGCGGCCCGUCUUGAAACACGGACCAAGGAGUCUAACAUCUAUGCGAGUGUUUGGGUGUCAAACCCAUACGCGUAAUGAAAGUGAACGGAGGUGGGAACCCGCGAGGGCGCACCAUCGACCGAUCCAGAUGUCUUCGGAUGGAUUUGAGUACGAGCAUAGCUGUUGGGACCCGAAAGAUGGUGAACUAUGCCAGAAUAGGGUGAAGCCAGAGGAAACUCUGGU
rnacentral:rRNA from 1 species